rnacentral:rRNA from 1 species
GUACUCAGUUCGGAUUGUAGUCUGCAACUCGACUACAUGAAGCUGGAAUCGCUAGUAAUCGCGAAUCAGAAUGUCGCGGUGAAUACGUUCCCGGGUCUUGUACACACCGCCCGUCACACCAUGGGAGUCAGUAACGCCCGAAGUCAGUGACCCAACCAUAACCGGAGGGAGCUGCCGAAGGUGGGACCGAUAACUGGGGUGAAGUCGUAACAAGGUAAC